GUACUGUCAAUGAACAAGGAGAAGGGUCUCCUGGAAAACAUCCUCCCUUGAAGACCACCCAGCCAACCAUUGAGAUGAAAGGAUCCAUUCCAGAGAAGGC